rnacentral:tRNA from 1 species
GCAGCGGUAUCGAAGCGGUCAUAACGAGGCAGUCUCGAAAACUGUUAGCCUUCACGGGCUCGUGGGUUCGAAUCCCACCCGCUGCGCCA